UACCAGCUCUCCGAGUGGUGUGGAUGUUUAUUGGGCCUAAAGCAUCCGUAGCUGGCUGGGCAAGUCCCCUGUUAAAUCCACCGAUUUAAUCGUUGGUGUGCGGGGGAUACUGUUCGACUAGGGGACGGGAGAGGCCGACGGUAUUUUCGGGGUAGGGGUGAGAUCCUAUAAUCCCGGGAAGACCACCAGUGGCGAAGGCUGUCGGCUAGAACGCGCCCGACGGUGAGGGAUGAAAGCUGGGGGAGCGAACCGGAUUAGAUACCCGGGUAGUCCCAGCUGUAAACGAUGCAGGCUAGGUGUUUGGGCGGCCACGUGCCGCUCUAGUGCCGCAGAGAAGUCGUUAAGCCUGCCGCCUGGGGAGUACGGCCGCAAGGCUGAAACUUAAAGGAAUUGGCGGGGGAGCACCACAAGGGGUGAAGCUUGCGGUUU
rnacentral:rRNA from 1 species